AACAAGAAUUUCACAUUUUUAUAUUACAUUGACAUUUUUGUUCAAUAAUAAAAUGUAAUUCUUCAAGACAGACAAGACUGUGAGCUGCACAGACAAAAUUUCCACUCCCAAGAAUGGUUCCUAUCUGACAAGAGAGGACCUACAAAAAGGAAAGGGUAGACAGUGACGAUGCCAUGAUGCACAAGCACGGAAGAGAAGCUGGGGAGGUACUUAUCUGUGUUUCUGGUGGAUGCGUAGUCUCCAUGAAUGACCAGAAAACGCUACACCCAAGAAGACUCUACAAGCCACGUCAGGGAAAGUGAGCACAACUGAGCUGCUGUGAAAGCAUCUUUCCAAUGUUUCAUUGUAAUUUGUUCUGCAGAAAAUUAUGUAAGCUAAGCCAGAGUUAACAAGAUCAUACUGUUGUAAAAGCAAGCUGUAUAUUAACAGGAGUAUCGUGCUUAAGGCCCAGGAGGUAAUCCUUACACUCUACUUGUUGCUGAUAAGAUCUAGGUCUGCUAGUGUACUCUGUUCAGGACAGCAUGCUAUACCUCAAAAAGACUUGAGCAAGUUGGAGAAGGCCAGAAAAAUACCACUAAGAGUUAUCAGAGAUCCCAUAACACAAUUUAGGAGAACAAACUCUAAGAUUGGGGAAAGCGUUAACAGAAGGAAGUACUAUGGAGGAAUGUGAUAACAAAAAUAUAAAUACUUGCCAUGAAGCAGUAAUAAUCUACACUCUGGUACUAUAUUCACAACAACAAAAAUAUAUGGGUUUAAAAGGCAAGAAAGGGGAUACCACACAAGAAAGAUCUUUCUACAAUUGAGAUUAAUGACAUAUAAGAAUAGGUUGCAUUGCAGUUAUGGCAUAUCUUUCACUGGAGGGUGUUAUGGCAUGGUAGCCUAACAUCUCUCAGGAGUUACAUAUAUAGUUGAUAUGCUCUGGGGAAGGAACAUAAUCACCUAAAUAUGCUCUCUUCAUAUCUUUCACCUCCAGUUUCUGUGAUUCUGUAAUUUUAAUAGCUAAGAGACUGGCUUAAACUCUGAAACGUAAUACCUUACCAAUCAUUGAAACUUGUUAGCAUUUGCUUUUGCAAAACUUACAUCCCCAAUUGGUCUAAUCCUUUGCUUAAUUCUGCAUCCAUAGCCUCCAGGAGGCCAUAUUCAAAUUUAGAAUAAGCUCACAUCAAGCUUAUCCACACAAACAAUAUUUUAUCUAUCCGGUUUGAAUUCGGCCCAAAAAUGAAAGCCUCUUUUUUAUAAAAACGCAGUACUUUCCUGAGAAUCAGAACACUGAUAUAGAUCCCAACACUAAAGCGUUCCCUUUUUAAUGGACAUUAAAUCUGGAUUUAGGUUGCUUCAGUGACUACUUUUAAGAAAGCGGAACUGCUGUUGAACUAAUUACUGAGAAAAUUAUGAAUCAGUCUGGAAGCAAAUUUUCUUCCAAAAUGCCUUAGAAAAGCUUCCAGAUUGAUGUACGGAAGACAUUUUAAACAGAAGAUCAGUGUUGCAUUGUUUUAAUCUCAUUGAAACAUUCCUACUGAGCUUUUUUGCUCAGUAGGUUUCGCAGCAGUUUCGCAGCAGUUUCCCUGUAUGUGUUAAAAAUCCAGUGCAGAAUAGUAUUUCGAAACAAACGGGGCCACGCUGUCCUGCACUGAGGUUUGCUUGGCAAGGCAGAAGGGGCAGACCACAAGGAAGCUGGCUAUGGCUCUGUCAUCUUCCAUCCUGCAUUACGGCAGCUCAGCCUCUGAGCAGGUUCACAGAGGCCCCAGCCCUAUCUCACGCUACCUGGCAACACGCUCCCACCCUCUGACAACUGGCAAAACUCAGCUCGCUCCAGCCAGACCCCGUUCUGUCCCAGGCUGCACCUCCAAUAGGCUGACAAGGGGAAUCCCUCGAGAGGAACUUGCAGCUCACCAAAUACAGCCAGGGUCAGACCUGCAGCGUGACCGGGGUAGCACAAAGGGGAUGAACUAUGGAGGAAAAUCUCACUCUGAAAAUAUUUCAAAAUCAGCACCUAUUUCCACUCCAGUUCUAUGCAUUCUGCAGGUAAGAUAAGAGUUGAACAAACUCCUUAUAUGGAAAACAACCUCAGCACAGAAAACUAAUGUUGUUAAGCAAUAGCGUAGUUAUAAAACUUUGAUUUGAUUGCUUGCACAAGUGCUAUGCUACUAUCUUGCACGUCAUCAGAGCAUGUCAGCAAAAAUAUGGUGAGAAACUACAUCCUAAGUCCUCAAGUUAAUCCCAUGCUUGUCCUUUACAGGUUAUAAGAAAGUUGGAAGAUCUCAUGUCAUCAUUUCAUUCUUUCUCUUUGACAGUAGUGAGGUCUGAUUAAGCCACAGGGUAACUUAGUAUUUUUCUCAGUCCCUUCCAGGACCAUUCAGUUGUCCUGGCAGUGUCAGGCACUACAGCUAUACACCCCUGCUGUUUCCAGCACUGCCCUCUGUGUGAGGAGGACCGUGCGAUUGUUUCUCAGCUGGCUGAAAAAUUGUGUGAUUCUUGACAAAAGGAACUUGUGCAAGGGCAGCGAUAUAGCUUGUACCUUCAGCUAAAUCGGGGACCAAAAAAGGUCUCUCUCCUUUCAGUGCUGGUAAAUAGUACAUGAAGGCAAAGGCUAUUACAACAUAAUAUUUGGUAAUCUACUUACAGCAGAGUUUCUGGGAACCAACAGUCAUAUGAGACUAUCAAUUAAAAAGAUAAAUUUCUAAAUUUAUGCAUAAAAUUGACUAAAGUAUGCCCUGAAAAAGUCAGCAAAUAAAAUAGCCAAAACUAUUUUUGAAGUUACAGUCUUUAAGCCAGUGUCAUAGCUUUCUGAGUCCGCCUGACAAACAUAGAAUAUUUAGGCACAGUAGGACUGUGAUUAAGGAAAAGGGUUUUUUUUCAGCAACCGAUCACCAAAUUCACAAGGGAAAAUAUUAGAUGUGUUUUUCUGUUUCAGCAAAUCUAUAAAGCACCAACAUCGUUAUAGGCUUAGCUAAGGAGAUAAUUGUAACAUAGAAAUUGAUCAUUCACUAUGAUGAUAUAGGUGUGUUAAAAAGAGCUAUGUGAGUGUAAUAGAUAAUGUCUGCACAUGACUCUAAACUUGGCAGUGGGCUUACGAAAUUGAUUUCUUCAGUGAGAAGCAUGCCUAUUUUGCAUACACCUAUACAGAUCUCUUGCUUUUCCCUGGCCUGCCCUCUAAGAAAAGGAGCAAAAUCUUUGCAUUUCUGGCUAUAAAGAACUUCUUUUCCUGUAUGACAUUUUAUAAAUAAUGGCAUGACUUCACUGGACAAGAGACAUUAUUAUAGGAAUGAAAAGCACUUUAGCCUGAUAAAGGUUUACCUUGUUUUCUAGAAAAAGUGCAGCAACGAUGUCAAUGCUAAAGAGUAAGAAAGCCGAAGCCUGCUUCAAACGAGCUGAAUACAAGUUUGUGAGAUACUUAGUAGAACUUGGAAACUACUUAAUUUUUCUUCCAAGAGUGUAACAGAGUUAUCAUCAGGAUCUUAAUACUGUUACUAAAAACCAGCCACAUCUGUCGGUGUAUUUCUUCAAAAGUCUAAGCUAUGUAUAUGUAUGUGUAGUCACUCCCCGUCAAAGAAUCGCUUUCUGCUUUUCUUGAGAAGACAGGAACACAAUCAUUUCCUGUUACUUGAUUGUCUCCAACUUAUCCUUACAGAAUUUACAAUGCAAAGUAAUUGUAAAUCUUGAUGACUAGAAUGUUUUAGAAUUUAAUAAAGAUACAUGCUUUAA